AUUUCAGUGGAGAGUAUUUGUAAGUUCCUCUCAUCCAAAGUGAAGCUCAUGCAAGAUCAAAUCGACAAGUUGCAGGAUGCUAUAGACAAAAAGGCCAUACAAUGCAAAGCGCACCUCACACAAGUAGCAGAGUUAGAGGGAGAAAGGAUGAGUCUGCUAAACAAGAACAACAACUUGCGGUCGAGCGCAGCUGACGCGAAAGCCAAGUGCAUGGGGAUGGAGAACAGACUAGCCG